rnacentral:lncRNA from 1 species
UAAAAUCUAGUUUUUGCUCCUUGUUGUAUGAACAUAUUUUUACACACGUCUAUGUACAAAAAUCAAUCAUAUUUGAGUAACUAACAUUUAAGCAAAUCUCAUACUUAUGGUUUAUUUCAGUAGGCACCUUCAUUAGCUUUCAAUAACUAGUUAUGUUUAAUUUGAUCACUCAAGUAAGUUGAAUUAUAUUUACUAAUUUGAAACAAUUUAACAUGUCGAUGGCAUCUUUAUCUUACUCCAUUCCUGUUUUUUUUUUCUUUUCAGUCUCGUGGAGUCAUGAUGUUUUUCUCAGUUUUAUAGGAGAAGCUACUCUCAAGACCACAAUCGCGUGUUAGUUGUUGAUUGUGUGGUUCUUCUCUAUAGCGCAUCUACAAGACGCCGGCUCUGUUGGGUGUGCAGGUUUUUGCUCACGGGUCAUGGGUCACGGUUCGGUAGUUAACGGGUCAAGUUAAACUCGAUUGGUUUAGUUAACUACUUUCUGCAAGAUUUUGUUUGGAAUAGAGUGUGGUAGAGAUUUGACCGAGUAUGUUGGAAUUGUACGUUGGAUCGCAUAGGCAAAAGAGUAGGUCAUAGUUAUAACCGAUAUUGCCAAUGAGCUGGUGGUGAAGUGGUAAGGGAAAACUUAGUGUUCCAAGUGACCCAGUUUCGAUUCCUGUCUCCCACAAUUUGUUUUCUGUCAAUAUAGGUACACGGAGAUUUUAAACAACAAGAAAACCAACUCAGGAUGUAUUUACUUUAAAGUUUAAACAAGACUCAAUACAAAUCUCAGACUCUCGAACAUACUCUUCAAUCCCUAAUAUUCGGAUCAUCAACACGAAGAACUGACCUCAAGCUUUACACGAUCUUUAUGGAUUAAACACAAGAAACCUGAACUUCAUAGAGUUAAAGAGAGACUGAGAUAAAAGAAAAAAAACUAGAGAGAGAGAC